ACCGCCUUUGCGGAUGGUCUUAGCUUCUUAAGCCUAGACCAUAAGAGAAACCUGCGUUUUUUAGGGUUAGACAUGUGCUUAUCUUUGCCUCCACGACGAGACUAUUAAGGUUUUGAGAUUGCUCUUUCAUCUUCUUCUUCAUGAUACCAAAUGAUAUCAGUUACAGAAUAAUCCUCGUAAAACCCUCUAUUUAUCUUCCAAAGCGGUGGAGAUUCGACUAUAAAAAGUCUCCCUCUCCGAUUUACAGACGGGCUGCUCCUCCUCCACCAUUUAGGUCCGGUUGCUCCGUUUCUAGAGGCCAGGAAUGUCCGCUGUGGUGAUGCCUUCAAGCUCCACCACUUCGUUCAUUGCUCACUAAUACAACAUUGAAAAUUAUACUGGUCACAACUGAUUUGAAUGUCAGAGAAAUGUAAGCAGCUUUCUAUCUGCUCAAAUACUACUUAAUUUUAAAUUAAACGAGCUCCUGCAACCCACUAUUUUAUGCUCUUUCUAUGUCGAUGAAGAAGAAGGCUAAGGUUCUUUAAGUUAUUUCUAAAAACUUCAACAUAUUCUCAAGAACAGGGUUUGGUUGCUGACGAUAAACAAGAAAGUCUUGGAAGCAACAUAGAUUCUUGUUAAGCGAUUGGGUCAAUUAAAAGCAAAGAAGAAGCUAUUGUAGAAACAGAGGAAAUAAGAAAAUCCAAAAGCUAAAGCCAUGAAGAUUAUGGCUUAAAUGGAAUCUUAUUCAAAUGACAGUGAUUGUGGCAUAGGAAAAGUUGUUGACAUGAGCUCUUUCGGAAAUAAGGCUACACUGAUUCUGUAGUUGUUACAUCCAUAAUCUGAAGUAGAAACCCUUCUUAGAUUGUAAGAACACCGAUAAAGCAUUGAUGCUUGCUCUACUGAAACCAGCUGCUGCAUCGAUAGCCUUUUGCUCAAUUGUUAAUCUUGGAGAGAUAUUGAAGAAUGUAGAAUUAGUUGUAGUUGUUUGAUUGCCACUGAAAAGCGUAGAAGUUUGUAUUGGAAUAAAGUUCAAGAAUUAAGGAAGAGUUGUGUUAUUGGAUGAGUUUCAGAAGGCAAUGAUGGUCAGGGAAGGGUCUGUUGUGGCUUGCAAGUGCUUGGGGAAGUGAUGAGACUGUCAAAAUGGUAAAGUACUAAACGAGUCUGAUCAGUGAUGACUUCUGUUAACACCUUCCAAGGCCAUUUGUAUUGGAGUUGGGUUGCAGGAUGUGGAUACUUUAUUUUUUCUAUAUAAUACCUUAUGGAGUAGAAACCCUUCCUAGCAUGUAAGAACACCCAUAAAGCAUUGAAGCUUUCUCUAUAUAUUAUGUUCUCCUCUCUCCCUCUGCACUGUCAACGUCUGUAGUCUGUACCAAUU